GAACAGAACAGAACAGAAAACUAGGGUCGACCCAUACGCCUCCCAUAACAAAACACCAAAUGGCCAACUCCCACCGGAGAACAAACCGGAGACGUCGUGGACUGAUCACACCGCCACGGAAGGUGUCAUGCCUCGGUGCCAAGAGGACAUGCCUGUGGUACCCCCACAGGUGGUUAUAGCUCAGGUAUACCCUACGGUAUAUUCUAACAAAAACAUCAUGUCACAACACAUGUGACAUAAUAUUAACACAAAAAGGGUUCUAAUAUGUGCAUAUUAAACUGAAAUGAAUCAUCAACUCAAAGUCUUCAAACAUAUACUAACAUGCACAUUACUACAAAUAUCAAAAUAAAUUUAGACAUGUUGUACUAGUCUAAAGAGUACAAAUAUGUGUUCCAACUAUGAACGCCAACCGAAACUAUCACAAUGAAUUUGAUAAGGAAUAAUAAUGAGAGGCAAUACUAAAUUUCAAAACGAAUAACGAAAUGAACAACUUAAAAAUAAAAGAGUCUCGCUGAAAAAGUACGAAAUUCGUACUUGGAUUAAGCAAUGGAAUAACCAAAAUUCCAAUAAAACUCGUUUAGAUUCUCUCCGUUCAAUCUAAAUAAUUUAAUAAAAUUUUAUUAUAAUCCAAUCAUUAAUAACAUAAUACUAUUAAAUUUAUUAUUAAAGACUUUUAUAACUAUGACGGCAAAAUUAAUUAAUUCGAAUUAAUAUACAUAACUUUAAUUGAUUUACUAAAUCCGUUAUAAGUUUUACGACCAAAAAUUUAUUAACACAAUAUAUAUAUAUAUAUAUAUAUAUAUAUAUAUAAAUUAACUAACAUGUAAUAUAUUNNNNNNNNNNNNNNNNNNNNNNNNNNNNNNNNNNNNNNNNNNNNNNNNNNNNNNNNNNNNNNNNNNNNNNNNNNNNNNNNNNNNNNNNNNNNNNNNNNNNAGUAAGUUUAAUAUCUUCCGUCCAACAAGUAAUCUGACAAACUUAUAUAUAUAUAUAUAUAUAUAUAUAUAUAUAUAUUCAAGUAAUAUGUACCAGCAAUCAUGUAAUAUAUAUACAUGUAUAUCACCCAAAAAGGAAUCCAAAAAAAUGAACAAGAAUGAAAUUAAGGUUUGGUGGAAGAAAUAUUAAAUCAUAUAUAGCUGUACGGAAUUCAAAGACAGAAUCUUUCUUUAAUUAUACUGAUCUAAUAUGGUUACAUAUCUUACCCAAAAAAAAUCCAAACAGAUCCUGCUCAUUGUAAACUAUAUGCUCGGCAAAACAAUUCAAUAAAAGGUUUAAUUUACCUUUGCAACAACACUUAAAUUGUCAAUUCCCUUUUCCUUUCUAUUAAUGCUGCCGCAGCUUCUCUUCUUCUUUUCCCUCAGUUUGUAUCAGACGUGAUGUUGAGUAAAUUAGGUUUUAGAUAUUUAUUCACUAAAAAAACAUAUUUUAUUAAUUAAUAUAAUAUAAUUAUUAACUCUCCAAAUUUUAAUAGAACUUUAAAAUUACACCAUUAAAAAAUUAGACCCACUUAAUUUAAAGCCCAAAUUUAUCAACUUAAUUUAUUCAUCAUUUAUUAAUACUUAUUAGUCCAAAAGUAAAUGACUAGUUUGACCCAAAUAAAAGACAAAGUACAAUUAAUAUAGUUUAAAACAAAAUAAUUUUUAUUAUUAAAUAUUUAUUUAUUAUUAUUCUUAUUUUUUUUUCGGGUAUUACAUCACCUACCCCUUAAAAAGGAUUCCGUCCCCAGAAUCAAAAGAAUAGAACGUACCUAAUUUUCAAAGAUAUGCGGAUACUCCACUCAAAUAGACUCCUCCAUCUCCUCUGUGGCUUCCCGCUCCGAAUGAUUUUUUCACAAAACCUUAAUAAACGAAAUAGCCUUCCUCCUCGUAAUCCGCUCUUGACAAUCCAAAAUCGCCUCGGCUUGCUCAUCACAAAUGAGAUCCUCUCGAAUCUUAUCGAAUGGAUAUUGCACCACGUGCAACGGAUGAUAAUGAUAACUCCUCAACACUGACACAUGGAACACAUUGUGCACAUAAGCUAGCUGUGGAGGCAAAGCUAACCGAUAUGCAACUUCACCAACCCUCUCCAAAAUCUCAAAUGGGCCAAUAUAACGCGGACUAAGUUUCCCUUUCAACCCAAAUCGCUGAAUGCCCUUCCAAGGAGAAACUUUUAGAAACACAUGUUCACCAGGUUCAAACUCUAGAGUCCUUCUAUGCUUAUCAGCAUAACACUUCUGCCGUGAUCGAGCCGACUUUAAUUUCUCCUUAGCCACAGCUACCUUCUCCGUAGUGAUUUGAACUAACUCAGGCCCUUCUAUGGCCCUUUCGCCAACCUCAUCCCAACAAGUUGGUGCCCGGCACUUUCUAACAUACAAGGCCUUAAAAGGAGCCAUUCCAAUACUUGCAUGCCAGCUGUUAUUAUAAGCAAACUCAACUAGGCUCAAGUAAUCAUCCCAAUUACCCGACCAUUCAAGUGCACAAGACCUCAACAUGUCCUCUAAUGUUUGAAUAGUCCGUUCUAAUUGCCCAUCAGUUUCCGGAUGAAAAGAAGUACUGAAGUUGAGCCGAGUGUCCCAAGCUCAUUGAAACCCUUUCCAAAACCGUCAAGUAAACCGUGGGUCCCGAUCUGAAACAAUAGACACCGGAGUACCAUGAAGUCUAACAAUCUCCUGCUGAAAGAUAUGUGCCAACCUAUCCACCGAGUAACCCUCAUGGAUAGCCAAAAAGUGUGCCAAUUUGGUCAGCCGGUCCACCACUACCCAAAUGGCAUCAUUCUUCUUGAAAGUCUUUGGCAAACCAGUCACAAAGUCCAUUGUGAUAUCCUCCCACUUCUACACUGGAAUGUCUAACUGUUGUAACAACCCACUAGCUCGUUGAUGUUCUAUCUUCACUUGUUGACAAGUGAGGCACUCCCCAACAUAUUCAGCCACGUCUCGUUUCAUCCCAUUCCACCAAAAAUUCUUCUUCAAAUCCGUAUACAUCUUUGUAGAACCUGGAUGAAUAGAAAAUGGCGAACUAUGAGCCUCAGCCAACACUGCCUCCCGAAUAAUUGGAUCGGAUGGUACACACAAUCACUCACCCAACUAAAUCACACCGUGGUCAUUAAUACGAAACUCGGGUUGCUUGCCCUCCUCUAGAUUCUGUGUCAGACCCCACAACUCCCCAUCUUCUUUUUGAGCUUCUUUAACCCGCGAGAUAAGAGAAGGCUCCACUCUCAUACCCGCUAAAUGCCCAUCUGAACCUCGUACAUACAACUCCAACUCGAGCCGCUCCAUAUCCAAAAUAAGCUGAGGUUGUGUAAUAAGAGCUGCUACACUCCCUGAAUUCUUUCGGCUAAGAGCAUCUGCAACCACAUUUCCCUUCCCCGGGUGAUACAGAAUUCUAGCAUCAUAAUCUUUUAGAAGCUCCAACCAACGCCUCUGCCUCAUAUUGAGCUCCUUUUGAGUGAAGAUGUAUUUAAGACUUUUGUGAUCGAUGAAGAUAUCACAAGUCUCUCCAUACAAAUAAUGCCUCCAAAUUUUUAGGGCAAAGAUCAUGGCUGCCAACUCCAAAUCAUGAGUGGGGUAGAUCACCUCAUAAGGUUUAAGCUGCCUAGAAGCAUAAGCAAUCACUUUACCGUGUUGCAUCAAAACACACCCUAAACCCUUCUUAGAAGCAUCACUUUAAAUCUGGUAACCUCCUGUCCCCGACGGUAAUGCAAGUAUAGGAGCUGUCACAAGUCGUUUCUUCAACUCCUUAAAACUCUUCUCACGCUCCUCAUUCCACACAAACUUUGUGCCCUUUCUCAUCAAUUGAGUCAAUGGUAAGGCAAACAAAGAGAAUCCUUCCACAAAUCACCUAUAAUACCCUGCCAAACCCAAGAAACUCCUAAUCUCCGUCACUGUAGUAGGUCUCGGCCAUUUAGUGAUAGCCUCAACCUUCACAGGAUCCACCUUAAUGCCUUCAGCAGAAACAACGUGGCCCAAAAAUUCAACCUGCUCUAACCAAAACUCGUAUUUAGAGAAUUUAGCAUACAACUUCUCUUUCUGCAAAAUCCCCAACACUGUGUGAAGAUGCUCAUCAUGCUCUUCUUUAGACUUGGAGUAAACCAAAUGUCAUCAAUAAAGACAAUAACAAAUUGGUCCAAGUACUCCCUGAACACCCGAUUCAUUAAAUCCAUAAACACCGUCGGAGUAUUAGUCAACCCGAAUAGCAUCACCAGAAACUCGUAAUGCCCAUAUCGAGUGCAAAAAGCUGUCUAAGAGAUAUCCUCAUCCCUCACCCUCAACUGAUGAUAGCCCGACCUCAAGUCCAUCUUUGAAAAAUAUUUUGCCCCCUGAAGUUGGUCAAACAAGUCAUCAAUCCUCGACAAUGGAUACCGAUUCCUGAAGUUGAUCUUGUUCAACUCCCUGUAGUCUAUACACAGCCUCAUAGACCCAUCCUUCUUCUUCACAAACAAGACUGGAGCACCCCACGGUGAAACACUCGGCUGAAUCACACCACGAUCUAAAAGCUCCUGCAACUACUCCUUUAACUCUUGUAACUCCAACGGUGCCAUCUGAUACGGCGCCUUAGAGAUAGGCUUCGCACUAGGAACAAGAUCAAUAUCAAACUCUACUUCCCGCUGUGGUGGCAACCCUGACAACUCCUCAGGAAACACAUCGAAAAAAUCAUGAACAAUUGGAACAUCCUCAAUACGGGACUCACCCUUAGAGGUAUCCUUUACAAACACCAAAUACCCCUCAUAACCCUUUGCUACCAACUUCCCAGCCUUCAAAGCUGAAAUCAUCUUCAACACCCUACUCGGCUGUGAACCCUGAAAUACGAACUCUGGAGACUUCACAUCUCCAAAUAUAACCUUCUUCGCCUGACAAUCGAUAGUGGCUUGGUGUUUAUCCAACCAGUAUAUCCCAAGAAUGACAUCAAAAUCAUGCAUACUCAUCGGAAGAAGAUUAGCCCUACGAAUCUUAUCUCCAAAACUGAUCGGACACUCUUGAUACAAAUCAGAAAUAACAACAGAAGUCCCCAUCGGGGUAGCAAUAGACAUAACAGAAUCUAAAGACUGAGAUGGCACACCCAGGUGCCGAACAAGAGACUGAGCAACAACGGAAUGAGUAGAACCCGUAUCAAAUAAAAUAGACGCCUCACGAUUGCCAACUAAGAGAGUGCCAGACACAGUACCCGGUGUACCUGCCGCCUGGUUAUACGUCAAAGAAAACACUCGACCCCUGAUGCUGACCCCCAUUGCCACCAUUAUCACCACCUCCACCAUUACCACGUGGCCCGGUACAAUAUCUAGCCAUAUAACCCAUUUGUCCACACAAGAAACAUGCACCGAUGAGUCUAUGGAACUGCCUCCCCGGAUGAUUAGCCCCACAAGUAGCACAAGGAGCUAUCAGAAUGAGAUUUGGGUUACCCCCACCAGCUGGUCCUGGAUAACGACCCUGAUUUUGCUCCUGCAGACGAUUAUGCCCCUGCUAACGAUUCUGUCCAUACCAAGGUAGCUGAAGUUGACGAUUAUGCCCCUGCUGAGGCAUCUGCUGAUAACCCCUGUUCUGAUUCUGGCCACGCCAUUACCCCUGCUGACCACCACGGUUCCGGUUCCACUGACCACCCAGAUUCUUUCAGUGCUGACCCGAAGUUUGACCCGGCUGGUCUUUUCUAUCCCUCUUUCGACUUCCCUCUGGUUUAGAAGACCGAAAGUCCUGUCGCUCCAUCUCAAUAUUCUUGGACGCAUUGGCCACUGCUGACACAUCUGCAAACUUGUUGUUAAUAAGAUGCUGGUGAUACCUAUAAUGAAUCCGCCACUUUAACUUCUCCACCUAUUCUGUUGCAGUCCCUGCUGAGGUUCCCGCAAAGCCUACCAACCUAGUGAACGUCAUCAUGAAAUCUGUGAUGAACUCAUCAUCUUUCUGCCGAAUAGACAGAUACUCUCUGGCAUAGGCCUCUUUAUCAGUAGCUGGAAAAUACUGUUGAUAAAAGACCUCACAAAACUCAGCCCAACCAAGUGUUUCAACAUAACCAUCACCUUUUGUUGUUUUCAUCGCUUUCCACCACCUCUGUGCAUCCCCUUCUAGCUUGUAAAUUGAAAGUAACACUUUCUGAUUAUUCGAACACCCUAACACAUCAAAAAUCUUCUCCAGAUGAGCAAUCCAAUUCUCUGCGUCAAUUGGAGUCGGGGCAUAACUGAAUGACUGUGGUUUCUGCUUCUGAGACCUUUCCAACCACACAUACAUUGGAACCACCUGCUGAUCAAUACCAUCUGCAUUCCCUUCCUCUUCGUUUGCCUAUAGACCAUUAUUUCCCCAGUUCUCCUGCUCAGGAAUCUCUGGUGGCGGCUGCUGCAUUGCCUGUACAACCUGUGCCACCAACUGAGGUAACGCCUGAUUCACAGCCUGAUUCACUAAGGUAGCCAACUGAGCAUUAAUCUGAUCAUUAGGUUGCUCAUUGGACUGACCCUCAGCUCUUCCCCUAUUGUUACCUCGACUCCCAGCAACUCUGGCGGAUCUACGAGCCAUCUAACAAAGAGAUCAACAAAUAGAUAACAAAGCAGAUUAGAGACAGAUUCAAAUAUAACUGAUAUGAUAGCUGAACAGAAAAUUAAACAGAACAAAAACCUAACCCAGAAGUCUACCCAUAACUCACAGGUCAAACCUAAAUAGGUUUUCUACAAGAAAGAACCUGGCUCUGAUACCAACUCUGUAACACUCCCUUUUUGAAAUGGAAAGAGAGUUUACACAAAACUCAACAAAACUAAUGAAUAUAUAUAUAACAAGGCUCUAAAUCACAAAAGAAUAAUCUCAUAAUGAUUUAAUGUCAUAAGACAAACCAUAAUAAAUGCCACACUGGCUCAAACCACAAUCUGAACUAAUUAUUAAAACUCUAAAUAGAUCAAUCUAUCAUAGCCUAACAAAAUAUAAAUAAACCAUUGGAUAGAAGGGAGCUCUCAUCACACUUGCCCUUGAUCCCCCUGAUUACCUGUCGGAAGAAAAACACAGCAUGAGCCAACUGCCCAGUACGGAUAUAGAAUAAAAGAAUAAUGAAACGAAAUAACUAACACAAUUAAUUGAACUGAACUGUAACGAACAAAACCAACACAACGAAAUGAUAGGCUGAAUCAAAUGGCUGGGUGUUAUUUCAUACCGAGCUCAAAAUAAAUAGUAAUAUACCUUGCCACACAGGCAAGUCAAAUAAUGCCACACAGGCAAUCAAAAUAAUGCCACACAUGCAAUCACAGAUCGGACUGCACAAUCCAGAUGCGUGCAAAAUUGGAAGGUGUGUUUGGCACAAACAUCACCACUCCACAGAAUAGAAAAGAACAGAAAACUAGGGUCGACCCAUACGCCUCCCACAACAAAACACCAAAUGGCCAACUCCCACCGGAGCACAAACCGGAGACGCCGUGGACUGAUCACACCGCCACGGAAGGUGUCAUGCCUCGGUGCCAAGAGGACAUGCCUGUGGUACCCCCACAGGUGGUUAUAGCUCAGGUAUACCCUACGGUAU
rnacentral:lncRNA from 1 species